AGAGUUUGAUCAUGGCUCAGGAUGAACGCUGGCGGCGUGCUUAACACAUGCAAGUCGAACGAAGCGCUUUCGUGGAUUUCCUUCGGGGAUGAAAUGACUGCGACUUAGUGGCGGACGGGUGAGUAACGCGUGGAUAACCUGCCCCAUACAGGGGGAUAACAGUCAGAAAUGACUGCUAAUACCGCAUAAGCGCACGGUACCGCAUGGUACAGUGUGAAAAGCCGAGACGGAAUGGGAUGGGUCCGCGUCUGAUUAGCCAGUUGGCGGGGUAACGGCCCACCAAAGCGACGAUCAGUAGCCGGCCUGAGAGGGCGACCGGCCACAUUGGGACUGAGACACGGCCCAAACUCCUACGGGAGGCAGCAGUGGGGGAUAUUGCACAAUGGGGGGAACCCUGAUGCAGCGACGCCGCGUGAGUGAAGAAGUAUUUCGGUAUGUAAAGCUCUAUCAGCAGGGAAGAAAAUGACGGUACCUGACUAAGAAGCUCCGGCUAAAUACGUGCCAGCAGCCGCGGUAAUACGUAUGGAGCAAGCGUUAUCCGGAUUUACUGGGUGUAAAGGGAGCGUAGGCGGCAUGGCAAGUCUGAUGUGAAAGGCAUGGGCUCAACCCGUGGACUGCAUUGGAAACUGCCGGGCUGGAGUGUCGGAGGGGUAAGUGGAAUUCCUAGUGUAGCGGUGAAAUGCGUAGAUAUUAGGAGGAACACCGGUGGCGAAGGCGGCUUACUGGACGACAACUGACGCUGAGGCUCGAAAGCGUGGGGAGCAAACAGGAUUAGAUACCCUGGUAGUCCACGCCGUAAA
rnacentral:rRNA from 1 species